CGUCUUCUUCCUCGACGUCAGAUCCGCGCGGCAGGGACCUGUCCCUGACGGAUCGAACAAGCACCACCUCCAUGUGCUACAGAAUCGAGGUCGGCGUGGCCUUGUUGCGGCUGUGACCACCCCAUCUUCCCGGCGGCGUCGCGUCCCCUCAACUCCCUCACGGCGGACUGCAGCGAGGGCAGCAACCACCCGCAUGGUGGACUGCAGCGACUCUGCAUCGGGACGGCCAGCCUCGGCGGCCCCAACCCCGACCUCGCCCCUGCCGCGCACCACCACCAUCCCCUCCCCCGAUCCAGGGUCCUACAUAGAGAGAAGAUCACCAGAUCCGUCCCCUCGAUGACAAGUUCCUCCUCCAUCACGCGCCAACAGCAACCACGGUGGGGAGGUACCCUUACUGCCUCGAUCUGGUCCCGACGAGGAGCUCCUCCCUCCCGCUCCUCUCCGGCGGCCGUUGGGCUGGGUCCAUGCUGGCGAUGAGGGCCCCUGGCCCAUAUUCUUGUUCCUAUCUAACCCCUCCAAUGGCCUGCAAGGAGCUCCCCUCCCAUCUCCAAGCGCCGCGUGCGUGUGCAGCUCGCCUGCGUAUUGCGUGCAGCCCGCGUGCGCGUGCAUGUGCAGUUCGACAGUGGGUGGAGUAGCACUGCAGCCCUGCCCUCCGCCGCUGGGGCAGCACGGCUGUGGCGAUGCACUGGCCGUGCAGUGCACCGCGGCUCUACGUGCAGUGUAGUGGGUGUGUGACACCUCGAGUACUCCUCCUCGACUCCACACCCACUUGCAGUAUAGCAUGUCCACGGAUUAUUCUUCGUCGAGGACUUGCAGCUCGCCGGCGAGUGGCUCGCGGUUCGGGCAGCUUGGUCAUGUGCGCGUGUUACGCGAAGAUGGGGUGCAGGAAGACGGUGAUUUUUGUGCAGUGCUGGGGGACUGGACAUGCAGUGCGUUGGCGCCGACUUGCAUUCACGGACAAAAAUGUGGAUUUAUUUUUUAAGUCCCUCGUCACUGUAAUUUGUGUGUGUUUGUAUUGUGGAUUAAAAAGAGGACCAUUGCAGUUCGUUCGCCCUGUCUCGUAGUCCAGAGAAGUAUAGAUUGCAACUCUAUUGUAAACGUGCAUUGAAGACAACAACACAUUUUUCAAGUGUAGCUCACUUGUU